rnacentral:rRNA from 1 species
UUUAAACAUGAGAGUUUGAUCUUGGCUCAGGACGAACGCUGGCGGCAUGCCUAAUACAUGCAAGUCGAACGAUGACGUCACUGCUUGCAGUGAUUGAUUAGUGGCGAACGGGUGAGUAACACGUGAGGAACUUGCCCAUGAGCGGGGGACAACAUUCGGAAACGGAUGCUAAUACCCCAUAGGUGGAUUGGUCGCAUGACUAAUUCAUUAAAGGUGGCUCUGCUACCACUCAUGGAUAGCCUCGCGGCGUAUUAGCUAGUUGGUAAGGUAAUGGCUUACCAAGGCAGUGAUACGUAGCCGACUUGAGAGGGUGAUCGGCCACACUGGGACUGAGACACGGCCCAGACUCCUACGGGAG